AACAUGAAGCCUGGCUCUGCUGUCCCACACAAUAUCCCAAAUUUCACCAGCCAGUAUUUUUAAUUUACUUCUGAGAAUUUUUGGAAAAAGACCACUCUGCUGUCAUCCUCCUGGGAUAAGCAAAAAGGAAAUGAAACUUUAAAAGACCUGAAAGGCUGUUUGGUGUUUCUUCCAUAGACUUUCACUAGAAGUUCUCUCACCACUUUGCCCUCCAGUUUUCCUCAGAGCAAUGGAUCUUGUGCAUUGCUUCUCUGAAAUUUGAAAUGGAUCAGAUGCAGCAUUAAUGAGUUCUGCCAGUGGAUGAGAACAAUUAG
rnacentral:lncRNA from 1 species